rnacentral:lncRNA from 1 species
AUCAAAUAUUUUUAAAUCUAUUUCAUAAAAAUCCAAUGGCCUAUCUUGCACUUUAAACUGUACUCCUGCCACUAAACUUUUCAAACUAUUUCAAUCCUCUUGAUUACAUUCCUAGAAUAAAAUCCCUUCUGUUCUGGUGGAUUAAAAAUACAUAUUGUUGCUUUCUUUUUCUCACAUUUUGUUUAGAAGUUUUUCACCUAUGUUAAAUUUCCCUUACCAGGACUGGCACCGUUCAUUUUACAAAAUUUUACAAAAAUUUUAAUGUGAAUGCCUUCAACUUGUUCCAUUUUACUACAUGGCCCACCACAUCUUAUUUAUAUUAGGUCCAGCUGCAUCACACAUUUAUGUUAUUUGCCUAUCCCUGAAGGUUAUCCUUCAAAAAAAAAAAAGACUGCUUAUUAUUUUUAAAUUACGCCAGGAUUUUACUGUAUAGCUGUAAAAAGAUUCUGUUGUUUAUGUAUAAUGUCUUGAGAAAAUGUCCACCAUGCAAUGCUAAAUGGGAAAAAAAACUAGUUUUAUCUUUUGUGAUUACUGGGAUUGGUGUUUGCUGACCUCCACUGAUAUGUGGGUUUUCUUCAAAUUCAUAUGUUAAAUGGGGGAAAAAACAAAACAAAACAGUCGAAAGUAUAAAGUAAACUGAGGUAGCAUUUAUCAUGGUCUUGAAAGAUGUUACAAAUAUAUAAGUAGAAGAAAAUAUACCCGAAGUAAACAGAUGCUCUUUGUAGGGCUUGGUUUUUUAAUUUCUUGAAAAAUUGUUCAUUUUUUCAGUUUUCUUGAUGAGUAUGUAUUAAACUUUAAAAGUAUAUAAAAAUUAAUUGAUACAUUUUAACUUCCAGGACCAGCCUUAAUGGGGUAAUGGGUGUUAAACUUACCCUCCCUCCAUGAUCAACUGUAAAAGUGGAUAAAAGACAUGAAGCAACUGGGUUUUAUUUGGCAUUAGAUAGCCAACCAUAGGGCUAUGAUCCUUAGGAGAAGGGAAAUCCAAUAGGUAAGCUCACCCUGGCUAUCCAAACUGUAGCUGAGGGAAAUAAUGCCCAAAUAGAGACUAGAGGUUUAGUAGGAUAAAGGAAACAGUGAUUGGAGUGCAUGGCUGCUGAAGCAGUUGGAUUUGUAAGGCUUCUGCUGGAAGGAAGAGAGCUGCUUAGAGAAGCUUCAGAAACCUUUAUGGGGAUCAUUCUGAAUCUUUAACUGAAUGCCGAACUCCACGUGUGCAGGGCCAGUCUCUUCUAAGAACAACUGUUGGGGCCUGUAGUCAAAAGGAGGUUCUGGAGAUUACACAGUGCUGAAAGACAUAAUUUCAAACAGCUAAAUUGGAGAGGUCUCGCUCAGCACCUUGGGCAUUAAUUAAGACUUCAGGAUGUCUAUAGCAUAAAGACUAGGGCUACUUUACCCAUAGAGUAAGAAUUAUUUUAGAUCAAUUCUACAAAGCAUAAAGCUAACCUUUAAAAAUACUAGGUUAAACUGCCAGUAAAUAACUUCAUGCAAAAACAAAACAUACUUUAAAAGAAUUCCAAAUGUUCCACAACAUAGUACCCACAAUGACCAGCUGUAUAAAAAAUUACUAAACAAAUGAAGAAGCAGGGAACUAUAGGGAAAAAAAUAGAAAUAGACCCAGAGAUGACAGAGACAUGGAAUUAGCAGCCAACUAUUUUAUGUUGUCUCUGGUAAAUAGGCUCAAAGAUUUAAAGGAAAAGAUGAACAGUAUCCAUGCACAGAUAGAGAAUAUCAGCCAAAGUAGAGCUCUAAAUAAGAAUCAAAUGGAAAACCUAGAACAAAAAAUGUAAUAUCUGAAAUGAAAAAUUCACUGAAUAUGCUAAAUGACAGAUUGGAAACUACGAAGAAAACUUCACUGAAGUUAACUACAGAGAGAAAAAAGGAGAGGAAAAAGAAAUGAACAAGUCUCUGUGACUCGUGGGCCAAUAUAUGUGUAAUUGGAGUCCCAGAAGAAUAGAUACUGGAGCAGAAAAAUAAUUUGAAGAUAUGAUUAUUGAAAGAUUUAUGAAUUUGAAGAAAACCCACAUAUCAUUGGAGGUCAGCAAACACCAAUCCCAGUAAUCACAAAAGAAAUCAUAGUAGCACAACGAGUACAAUUACUUAAAACUAAAAAUAAAGAGAGCAUCUUAAAGACAGCUAGAGGGGCAGGAAUGGGGAAGAUACGUGAUAUACAUAGGGAAACAACAGCAACGAAGACCAACUUCUCAUCAGAAAUAAUGGAGGCUA